AGGCUCGUAGCUCAACCUGGUAGAGCAACGGACUCUUAAUCCGUGAAAAAUCGGGCCUA
rnacentral:tRNA from 1 species